rnacentral:rRNA from 1 species
AUACGGAGGAUCCGAGCGUUAUCCGGAUUUAUUGGGUUUAAAGGGUGCGCAGGCGGGAGAUUAAGUCGGCGGUGAAAUUUUGCAGCUCAGCUGUAAAAGGGCCUUCGAAAAUGGUUUUCUUGAGUGUAGAUGGAGUAGGCGGAAUUUGUGGUGUAGCGGUGAAAUGCAUAGAUAUCACGAGGAACUCCGAUUGCGCAGGCAGCUUACUAAACUACUACUGACGCUCAGGCACGAAGGCGUGGGGAUCAAACAGGAUUAGAUACCCUGGUAGUCCACGCAGUAAACGAUGAUUACUAGCUGUUUGCGAUACAAUGUAAGCGGCUGAGCGAAAGCGUUAAGUAAUCCACCUGGGGAGUACGUUCGCAAGAAUGAAACUCAAAGGAAUUGACGGGG